rnacentral:rRNA from 1 species
UACGGGGGGGGCAAGCGUUGUUCGGAAUUACUGGGCGUAAAGGGCUCGUAGGCGGCCAACUAAGUCGGACGUGAAAUCCCUCGGCUUAACCGGGGAACUGCGUCCGAUACUGGAUGGCUUGAGGUUGGGAGAGGGAUGCGGAAUUCCAGGUGUAGCGGUGAAAUGCGUAGAUAUCUGGAGGAACACCGGUGGCGAAGGCGGCAUCCUGGACCAAUACUGACGCUGAGGAGCGAAAGCCAGGGGAGCAAACGGG